rnacentral:rRNA from 1 species
AACGAACGCUGGCGGCGGUGCCUAACACAUGCAAGUCGAGCGAGAAAGUCCCGUUCGGGGCGAGUAAAGCGGCGGACGGGUGAGUAAUACAUGGAUAAUCUUCCCUCGAGCCUGGGAUAACCCUGCGAAAGUGGGGCUAAUACCGGAUAAGACCACAUGACACAUGUCACGGGGUAGAAGGUGGCUUGUAUUUAUAUGAGCUAUCACUUGAGGAUGAGUCCAUGGCCUAUCAGCUAGUUGGUGAGGUAAGAGCUUACCAAGGCUAUGACGGGUAGCUGGUCUGAGAGGACGACUAGCCACACUGGGACUGAGACACGGCCCAGACUCCUACGGGAGGCAGCAGUGGGGAAUAUUGGGCAAUGGGCGAAAGCCUGACCCAGCGACGCCGCGUGGGUGAUGAAGGCCUUCGGGUUGUAAAACCCUUUCGUGCGGAAAGAAUAGUCCUGUAGCGAAUAACUACGGGAUUUGACGGUACCGCAGGAAGAAGCACCGGCUAACUCCGUG